rnacentral:rRNA from 1 species
GGGUGAGUAACACGUGGAUAACCUACCUAUAAGACUGGGAUAACUUCGGGAAACCGGAGCUAAUACCGGAUAAUAUUUUGAACCGCAUGGUUCAAAAGUGAAAGACGGUCUUGCUGUCACUUAUAGAUGGAUCCGCGCUGCAUUAGCUAGUUGGUAAGGUAACGGCUUACCAAGGCAACGAUGCAUAGCCGACCUGAGAGGGUGAUCGGCCACACUGGAACUGAGACACGGUCCAGACUCCUACGGGAGGCAGCAGUAGGGAAUCUUCCGCAAUGGGCGAAAGCCUGACGGAGCAACGCCGCGUGAGUGAUGAAGGUCUUCGGAUCGUAAAACUCUGUUAUUAGGGAAGAACAUAUGUGUAAGUAACUGUGCACAUCUUGACGGUACCUAAUCAGAAAGCCACGGCUAACUAC